rnacentral:rRNA from 1 species
GUUGUUCGGAAUUACUGGGCGUAAAGGGCUCGUAGGCGGCCAACUAAGUCAUACGUGAAAUCCCUCAGCUUAACUGGGGAACUGCGUGUGAUACUGGAUGGCUUGGAUUUGGGAGAGGGAUGCGGAAUUCCAGGUGUAGCGGUGAAAUGCGUAGAUAUCUGGAGGAACACCGAUGGCGAAGGCAGCCCCCUGGGCUAACACUGACGCUCAUGCACGAAAGCGUGGGGAGCAAACAGG